rnacentral:lncRNA from 1 species
UCACCGUCUUCAUUUUCUACACACACAACUGAUCUCAGAAGCACAACAAGAGCUACUAGGACAAAGCAACGUGGUUGUACCAUUGAUGUAUGUAUAUCACGCGAGCUUGCUAUAUGCAUUAAUUUCUAUAUAAUCAAAUGGAAAAUGUGCAUUAUUUCAUUGAAUUAUAACAGUACAUACAAGAAAUUCUGAUAUGAAUGUGUGGUUUCUGUUAACGCCAGGAUCUUCUGUCACGUCCCAAUCAUGUAAGACGUCCUGAUCCUGCACAGUAAACACGGUAAACACCACAAGUUUGACGGCGGUUCCGUCGGGGGAUAGCUCAGGCGUGAGAAUUAGUAUAUGUUCACAAGGUUAACAAUGGAGAAAUGUACUGUCUAGUGUCUAGAGAGAUAUAUUAAAUCUCGGUUGUGUGUAUGUGAGAGAAUAUGAAAAUCAAAAUGUACGAGAACGUACCUCUAGACGAUGGCUUCCUUGCUAGGUUAUACUAUCUAUGCUUGGAUUACUGUGCCACCCACUACUACCUGACACCCCCUCUGAUCUGAUGGGCUCUGCCGACUGUAUAAGGUUUAUCUACUGCUUUUGGCCACUGUUUUCUACCGCCGGCCGGCUAUGAUCCCAUCCACAUUAAUGCAUGGCAGGAGCCUUGGUAAACCGUCAUCUUUUUCAUCAUCACAAGUCAAAGUAACAGAUAUUAAAAUAUCUAAUGGGUCGAUCCACUGGAUCGACCCGACCUUAAAGAUUAAAACGGAUAUAAUAUGGUGACUGGGCCCAGUGACUUUAACGGAUUAAAAAUAAAGGCCCAAUGUUCCCGGCCCAAAGAUAGGAAAUAUCAC